AUUGAACGCUGGCGGCAGGCCUAACACAUGCAAGUCGAGCGGAGCGGCGGACGGGUAAUUAAUGCCUAGGAAUCUGCAUGGUAGUGGGGGAUAACGUCCGGAAACGGGCGCUAAUACCGCAUACUAUCAGAUGAGCCUAGGUCGGAUUAGCUAGAUGGUGGGGUUAGGACCUACCUAGGCGACGAUGCGUCACUGGUCUGAGAGGAUGAUCAGUCACACUGGAACUGAGACACGGUCCAGACUCCUACGGGAGGCAGCAGUGGGGAAUAUUGGACAAUGGGCGAAAGCCUGAUCCAGCCAGGCCGCGUGUGUGAAGAAGGUCUUCGGAUUGUAAAGCACUUUUAGUUGGGAGGCGUUACCAAAAGAAUAAGCAACGGCUAACUUCGUGCCAGCAGCCGCGGUAAUAC
rnacentral:rRNA from 1 species